UGGGAGGUCACCUGGGUGUCGGCUUCCCACGUGCCCAACGAGAGAUUAUCCCGUCUGUGUCCCACGGAAUCGAAGCGCCACGAGGGCAGGGCGUUUGGUGUCCUGCUGCACUGCCCACGCCUGGCACAGCACUGGGCAUACUAGUAGCAGGUCAAUAAUUGUCUGUUGAGUGGGUGACAUCACUGUUUAGUUAAGCAAACUUGCCUGGAAGCGUCGGAGCGCAGACUGCAGAUCCACACUCCAGAGCCGCUGCGCCGCCUGCUGGACGCAGAGGGGAGUUGCAGGCACUGCGGGACCCAGACAGACAACAGGGAGAUGCCCAGAGACUCGGCCUGAAGACCAGCCCACCGCGUUCCCUCCCCCACCGCAGCCCCCAGCCUGCCCAGGCGGGUCUGUCUCUGGCUUUGGGCUUCCUCUCACCGCAAGCCGGCGCGCUUGUGAAGGCUCUCACCACCCCAGGCAAACAUCUGUGCUUAGUGGCGGGAGCGGUCUGAGGUGUCUGUCUGUCUGCCUGUCUGGGAAAUUCCCCUCCUGGGCCUCCCUGUGAAUUUCUGAGACAGGAUUAACCCUCUGAGUGUCUUGCAGGAGGCCCGCCAUCCGGAGGGACAGACUGUCCACCUCUGGGGGCACUGCCCGCCGGGAGGCGCCAUUUCCAGUCUGGAACUGGCAGAGCUUCUCGAUUGCUACUCCUUUACUGAGCACCCUGUGGUCGGGGUGGCAGAGCCACAGGGUCCGGGGCGCCUGCUAACCUGGCCCAGCCCCUGAGGGUAUCUUUAGACAGUGGGGUAGGGGUGGGAGGCCUGAGCCUCUGUGCCGUUCCCUCAAUGUCAUUUUGAAAAAUAAAGUAUGUGUUUCCCACUUUA